GCGGGCGUGGCGAAAUCGGUAUACGCGCGGGUUUUAGGUGCCCGUGUUCGAGAGAACGUGUGGGUUCGAGUCCCACCGCCCGCACCA
rnacentral:tRNA from 3 species